GAUGAACGCUGACAGAAUGCUUAACACAUGCAAGUCUACCAAGAAUCACUUCGGUGAGGAAUGGUGGCGGACGGGUGAGUAACGCGUAAAUAAUCUGCCCUUUAGACUGGGAUAUCCUUUGGAAACGAAGGUUAAUACCGGAUAUUAUGAGAUGGACGCAUGUUCAACUUAUGAAAGCUAAAUGCACUAGAGGAGGAGUUUGCGUCCCAUUAGCUAGUUGGUGAGGUAAAGGCUCACCAAGGCCACGAUGGGUAGCCGGCCUGAGAGGGUGAACGGCCACAAGGGAACUUGGACACGGUCCUUACUCCUACGGGAGGCAGCAGUGGGGAAUAUUGGACAAUGGACCAAAAGUCUGAUCCAGCAAUUCUGUGUGCACGAUGAAGGUCUUCGGAUUGUAAAGUGCUUUCAGUAGGGAAGAAAAAAAUGACGGUACCUACAGAAGAAGCGACGGCUAAAUAUGUGCCAGCCGCCGCCGUAA
rnacentral:rRNA from 1 species